rnacentral:rRNA from 1 species
UACGGAGGGUGCAAUCGUUGUUCGGAAUCAUUGGGCGUAAAGCGCGUGUAGGCGGCUUGGCAAGUCGGUUGUGAAAUCCCGGGGCCCAACCCCGGAACUGCAUUCGAAACUGCCUCGCUAGAGUCCCGGAGAGGAAGGCGGAAUUCCCGGUGUAGAGGUGAAAUUCGUAGAUAUCGGGAGGAACACCAGCGGCGAAGGCGGCCUUCUGGACGGUGACUGACGCUGAGACGCGAAAGCGUGGGGAGAAAACAGG